rnacentral:misc_RNA from 1 species
AACGCAGAUUGCGCCCAAGUCCUCGGACGAGGGCGUGUCUGUCUCAGCGUCGGUUUACCCCCCCUCGCCCCAACCCCCGCCCACCGUGGCUGGCUUGGGGCGGACCUGACCGUCUCGGCUGCUCGCUCUCGGGCAGCGCCGGGUCGGUUGAAAGCCAGAGGCUGGAACACGGCCUCGCAGCGGGCUGCGGGCGGCUCCCCCAACUGGGGGGGCUGCCUGCGGCCUGCGAGGCGCCGGUUUGGUAGGCGGUCACCCGCAUGCCCGACCGGUCGACCGAGAGGCUGGCCGUUGGAAGCCCUCACUGGUGGCCUGCCCAGCCCUGGGCGGGCCCCACCCCAAACCUUCGACCUGAGAUCAGGCAAGAGCACCCGCUGAACUUAA